CGGGCUUCCACGAACUUCCGUUCCCUUCGCGUCUGGACCAGCCAGUUUUUCAAUCUUUUUUAGGCUUUCUGUCCUGGAUCCGGAGCCCAGGCUUCUGUGCUAUGGAGAAGCUGAAAACAAACCACAGGGAGACCGCUGAGAACCCUGAAAGCCAGGAAAUGGUAAGUGUGCCUUGUCAUCUUGAGACUGCGUAGGAAGGUGGCUUAAGGCUGACAGGAGUGGCAAUGGUGGAAACUGGCAGUUGUGGCUAGGGACUCCUCCUGAUCCUCUCCAGAGUCAUGUGGCCAGAGGGUCUCUCUGUAGCAGCUUAGCCUUCACCUCCCUCUUACUAGUCUAGUGAGGCUUACAUCAGCAGUUGAAAACCUGGGCAUGUUGUUUCAUUAUUGUAUGGUGUUUUCAGCUUCUUUUUUUUUUUUUUACUUUCUGAAAUGAACCAUUGUACAUUGUACAAACCAUCUACUGAUGGAAUAAAUAAGUGAAAAAUUAUACUGCUGUACCACACACCAAAGAAGAAAAUCAUUUAAGAGGGGGGAAAAUUAGGUAACGGUGAAAAAAGGCUCUUUAUACCUCUAACCAGGUCCUCGGCCAUCAUGAACAUUCCAAACCAUGACACCUUUUGAUGAUGGGAGGUCACCACCCAUAUGAAUCCGUCAUCAGCCUUCCGGGUUAUGGGUGUAAGUGCCAGCACUUUGUGGAAUGUGUAGCCGCAGCUCCCCCACCUUCAAGUUUUGUGGGGGAGUUAAGUUUGCCCUGGGAGCCCAUUAGGCCACGGGGCCUGAUGUCCAUUUCAGGCAAUCGCUUAGGAUCCCCACCCCUGGCUCCGCCGGCUAAAAGGUCUUAGAUUCCGUGGUGGGGACGAGGGCGAGGGGUGCAGGGUGGGUGGGGAGCAGCAGCUCUGAGGAGCA
rnacentral:lncRNA from 1 species